rnacentral:rRNA from 1 species
GUAGGUGGCAAGCGUUAUCCGGAAUUAUUGGGCGUAAAGCGCGCGCAGGCGGUUUCUUAAGUCUGAUGUGAAAGCCCACGGCUCAACCGUGGAGGGUCAUUGGAAACUGGGGAACUUGAGUGCAGAAGAGAAAAGCGGAAUUCCACGUGUAGCGGUGAAAUGCGUAGAGAUGUGGAGGAACACCAGUGGCGAAGGCGGCUUUUUUAGGUCUGUAACUGACGCUGAGGCGCGAAAGCGUGGGGAGCAAACAGGGAUUAGAUACCCUGGUAGUCCACGCCGUAAACGAUGAGUGCUAAGUGUUAGAGGGUUUCCGCCCCUUUAGUGCUGCAGCUAACGCAUUAAGCACUCCGCCUGGGGAGUACGGUCGCAAGACUG